rnacentral:pre_miRNA from 1 species
UGACUGGAAUUUGAUCCAAAGCCCAUUGAAAUCAGUGGGAGUUUUUCCACUGACUUCAUUGGAUUUUAGAUCAGGUCCCCUCCA